rnacentral:rRNA from 1 species
UCAAAGAUUUAGCCAUGCAAGUCUAAGCAUGCACGGCAUGUUCAGUGAAAGUGCGAAUGGGUCAUUAAAUCAGUUACCGUUCGUGUGGUCGCUCGCUCCUUUCUUAAUUGGAUAUACGUGGUAAUUUUAGAACUAAUUCAUGCGGGCGCGCGCUGCCCCCCUUCGCGGGGGGAACGAGUUCACUUAUCAGAUCAAAACCGAUCCGGUCAGCCCCUCUCUGCCCCCGUCCGGGGCGCGGGAGCCGUCUGUUUUGCCGACUAUAGAUAACAUCGGACCGAUCGCACGCCCCCCUUGGCGGCGAGGACCCAUUCGAAUGUCUGCCUUAUCAACAUUCGACGGUAGUCGCGGUGCGCCCCAUGGUCACCUCGGGUGACGGGGAAUCACGGUUCGAUUCUGGAGAGGGAGCCUGAGAAAAGGUUUCCACAUCCAAGGAAGGCAGCAGGCGCGCGAAUUAUCCACUCCCGACCCGGGGAGGUAGUGAGGCAAAAUCACAAUACCGGACUCUUCAGAGGCCCUGUAAUCGGAAUGAGUCCACUUUAAAUCACUAACCGAGGAUCCAU